UUCUGAACGUUUUCAAUAGAUUAGUCAUUUUAAUUUCAAUUCAAUUUUUACACCGUUUUCAUAAAUUGAUAUCAAAAUAAUAAUAGAAACAAUGGAUUGUCCACUUAGAGAAUUAAAAACUUGUAKACUGUUGUGGCAGACAAACAAUGCUGGGUAUUAAGUCUAUGGUGUGAUUGAAGUUGGUAUAAUUUAUAAUUGUAUAAAAUCUAUCGAUAAUCAAUAAAUUAUCGAUUUAUGAUGCGUAGUUAAAGCGGAAUAAUUAMUACAACACAGAAUCUCUUCUCAAAACCCUUCAAGCACGUUACCAAAUUUAAUUAUAGUAUUCUGCUUAAAAAGAUACUUGUCAUAAGCAGAUACUAUAAAAACUUUCUGCAGAAGAUACACAAUUAAGCUCAUGAAUAAUGAACAGUCAAUACCAGUGUUCAACUUAUGGUCGCAUGUGUUAUUAAAAUGUUAUGUGAUAACAUAAUCUAUAGAUCAACAAAUAACAGCUUAUAAAUUCAAAACUAUGUCCUACGAUCAUAUGAGAAGAGGAACUAUUACUGUACCAAAACUGCAAUGAACUUUAAACAGUGAUACAGCUCCUUGUCUACUGCCAAAAACUAAACUAGAAUACACCUAAAAAUUCUGAACAAUCUGUAUGAACCUUUGAACCCUCAAGAAAGAAAAAAAGUUGAGGCUGUUACACCAUUAAAAAAUAUUAAUAGUUUUGGGCUGAGUAAAAUUAAUUUAUAUUCCAACAAUAUUUGGUUCUUUUACUCACAUUUUUCUGGAAUAAAUGCUCCAACAGUUAACAUAUUUAUUAAUCACUUUAAUUAAGAAAUUGCAUACAAAAGCUACUAAAAAAACAGCCAUCAAAGCUUAUGGCAGACUAAUUUUGAUAUAAAUUUACUUUUAGUAAUAAACUAAUAAACAUUAUUCCCAUGUAUUACUGGAAACAAAAUUUUUCCCAAUGUAUUACAAAUUUU